GACGAACGCUGGCGGCGUGCUUAACACAUGCAAGUCGAACGAUGAAGAAGAGCUUGCUCUUCGGAUUAGUGGCGAACGGGUGAGUAACACGUGACUAACCUGCCCCCUCCUCUGGGAUAACGCUCCGAAAGGAGUGCUAAUACCGAAUACUCACAUCGAGGCACAUGCCUUGAUGUGGAAAGUUUUUCGGAAAGGGAUGGAGUCGCGGCCUAUCAGCUUGUUGGUGAGGUAACGGCUCACCAAGGCGACGACGGGUAGCCGGCCUGAGAGGGCGACCGGCCACACUGGGACUGAGACACGGCCCAGACUCCUACGGGAGGCAGCAGUGGGGAAUAUUGCACAAUGGGCGAAAGCCUGAUGCAGCGACGCCGCGUGAGGGAUGAAGGUCUUCGGAUUGUAAACCUCUUUCAGUAGGGACGAAGCGAAAGUGACGGUACCUAAAGAAGAAGCACCGGCUAACUACGUGCCAGCAGCCGCCGUAA
rnacentral:rRNA from 1 species